rnacentral:misc_RNA from 1 species
UGGUUCUGGCAUCGAUGAAGAACGCAGCGAAAUGCGAUAAGUAAUGUGAAUUGCAGAAUUCAGUGAAUCAUCGAAUCUUUGAACGCACAUUGCGCCCCUUGGCAUUCCGAGGGGCAUGCCUGUCCGAGCGUCAUUAUCACCCCUCAAGCUCUGCUUGGUCUUGGGACCUGCCAGCCCGGCAGCCCCUAAACUCAGUGGCGGCACCGCUGGGUCCCGAGCGUAGUACAACCCGCGUUCUGGGCCCCGGCGGCGGCUGACCAGCAACCCCAACUUCCAGAAGUUGACCUCGGAUCAGGUAGGAAUACCCGCUGA